rnacentral:lncRNA from 13 species
UGGGGCGGAGCCCGCCCGCUGCCUUGGAGCACCUGACUCGUUUUUGGCGACGUGACAGACAUCUUUCUGCAUCGUGUUACUCAGGCACUUUGGGCUGGACCAUCUUCCAUGUUGUGCAUGUAUCCCGUUUGGUUCGUCCGUUCGUCCAUCCAUGCACACGCGACUCAAACCUGUGGUCACCAAUCUGGAAGAAGUUCAGGCUCCUGAGUCCACUGAGAUGGCGUCAACAGGGACUGUAGCUCAAGAGGAACCAGGACUCAAUUCCAUCUAGAAGGAAAGAGGCAGCCCUGAGGGAGGUGCUCCCUGCCUCCCGCUCUGGGCUUGCUCUCGGCGAGUGGUAGUUUAGAGCAAGGGUUUCAUCUUCGUAAGUCUUUGUAUUUGCACUGCCGUUUCUUUACUGCUGCCACUUUAUUCAGUAACCUUUAGCCUAUUAAUUGUGUUUAUUUUAUUUUCCUUUUUAUCUUUCAGUGUUAUUAGGCCCUGCCGGCAAACUGAGUUGAGGAGGGUGUGCCCAGCAGGGAGGAAUGAAGGGCCACAGUGAUUCAGCGAUUCAGCGUCUGGGACUCAGCUGAGCCUUUCCUGCCCCUGAGGCAGGCGGCUGAGGAAGUCCUUGAUCUUGAACCCAGCCCCUUAAGGUCUGCAGGUGGCCCCACCUUCAAAGUAAGAACUCCCCAUGAUUCCACUGGGGCC